rnacentral:rRNA from 1 species
UACGAAGGGGGCUAGCGUUGCUCGGAAUCACUGGGCGUAAAGCGCACGUAGGCGGAUUGUUAAGUCAGGGGUGAAAUCCUGGAGCUCAACUCCAGAACUGCCUUUGAUACUGGCGAUCUUGAGUCCGGGAGAGGUGAGUGGAACUCCGAGUGUAGAGGUGAAAUUCGUAGAUAUUCGGAAGAACACCAGUGGCGAAGGCGGCUCACUGGCCCGGUACUGACGCUGAUGUGCGAAACGUGGGGAGCAAACAGGAUUAAGAUACCCGGAGUAGU